AGUUUAUUUUUUAACUUCCUUUCUACUGGGGGACAAUGUGGAUGUAUGCUUUCUCUGAUUUAGCCAGCAUGGAAACGCCUUCUUUCUUUUUUCUUAGACAUCACAGGACCGUUGCUUAGGCUGGAGUGAAGGCAGAAGGGGAAGUCGAUAGAAUGAGGAAGCAGUCAACCCAGCAACCAAGCUUUUGGAAACCAUUGCAGUGACUUGAAAUGCCCACGGGACAGCCACCUGCGGCAGUGGAGUGCCUACCUUGAAGCCCCUAAUUAAUGGUUUCCCUGCAUCUGUGUCCUGCAUCUCCAUCAGCUGCUACACUGUCUUUCGCCAUCGUUCCUCUGGGCUGGCCUUGUCACUUUGGCCAGAGGAAGGGAGCUGAAGUGAUGGUGUGCCCAUCUCAAGCAGCCAUUUGGGCUCCUCUCUGUGUCUCUCUCAACAUAUCCUGGAUCAGACUGUCGGGGCUCCAGAGACCAUGUAGAGAAGAGCCCACGGUCCUCAUCCUAGGCCAUUUUGAACCGGCUUACAACCAGCCAACCUUCAACACGGUUGGCCCGCAGAUUCAUGAGCGAUAAGAAAUGCCUGUUAUUAUAAGCAUCUGAGAUUUUAUUAAACAACAGAGGUUAACUGUUACCUACACUCAA